CCUACGGGAGGCUGCAGUGGGGAAUAUUGGACAAUGGGGGGAACCCUGAUCCAGCCAUGCCGCGUGUGUGAAGAAGGCCCUCGGGUUGUAAAGCACUUUCAGUGAGGAAGAACGCCUGGUGGUUAAUACCCAUCAGGAAAGACAUCACUCACAGAAGAAGCACCGGCUAACUCCGUGCCAGCAGCCGCGGUAAUACGGAGGGUGCGAGCGUUAAUCGGAAUUACUGGGCGUAAAGCGCGCGUAGGUGGCUUGAUAAGCCGGUUGUGAAAGCCCCGGGCUCAACCUGGGAACGGCAUCCGGAACUGUCAAGCUUGAGUGCAGGAGAGGAAGGUAGAAUUCCCGGUGUAGCGGUGAAAUGCGUAGAGAUCGGGAGGAAUACCAGUGGCGAAGGCGGCCUUCUGGACUGACACUGACACUGAGGUGCGAAAGCGUGGGUAGCAAACAGGAUUAGAUACCCGAGUAGUC
rnacentral:rRNA from 1 species